GUGAGGAAUUUUCCGCAAUGGGCGAAAGCCUGACGGAGCAAUGCCGCGUGAAGGAUGAAGGCCUAUGGGUUGUAAACUUCUUUUCUCAGAAAAGAAUUAUGACGGUAUCUGAGGAAUAAGCAUCGGCUAACUCUGUGCCAGCAGCCGCGGUAAGACAGAGGAUGCAAGCGUUAUCCGGAAUGAUUGGGCGUAAAGCGUCUGUAGGUUGUUUAAAAAGUAUUCUGUCAAAGAUUAGGGCUUAACCCUAGAUAGGCAGAAUAAACUUUUAAGCUAGAGUUUGGUAGAGGCAGAGGGAAUUCCCGGUGGAGCGGUGAAAUGCGUAGAUAUCGGGAGGAACACCAAAGGCGAAGGCACUCUGCUGGGCCAAUACUAACACUGAGAGACGAAAGCGAGGGGAGCAAAUGGGAUUAGAUACCCCUGUAGUAC
rnacentral:rRNA from 1 species